AGUAGCGGCGAGCGAAGCGGGAAGAGCUCAAAUUUAUAAUCUGGCACCUUCGGUGUCCGAGUUGUAAUCUCUAGAAAUGUUUUCCGCGUUGGACCGCACACAAGUCUGUUGGAAUACAGCGGCAUAGUGGUGAGACCCCCGUAUAUGGUGCGGACGCCCAGCGCUUUGUGAUACAUUUUCGAAGAGUCGAGUUGUUUGGGAAUGCAGCUCAAAUUGGGUGGUAAAUUCCAUCUAAAGCUAAAUAUUGGCGAGAGACCGAUAGCGAACAAGUACCGUGAGGGAAAGAUGAAAAGCACUUUGGAAAGAGAGUUAACAGUACGUGAAAUUGUUGGAAGGGAAACGCUUGAAGUCAGACUUGCUUGCCGAGCAAUCGGUUUGCAGGCCAGCAUCAGUUUUCCGGGAUGGAUAAUGGUAGAGAGAAGGUAGCAGUUUCGGCUGUGUUAUAGCUCUCUGCUGGAUACAUCUUGGGGGACUGAGGAACGCAGUGUGCCUUUGGCGGGGGUUUCGACCUCUUCACACUUAGGAUGCUGGUGGAAUGGCUUUAAACGGUCCGUCUUGAAACACGAACCA
rnacentral:rRNA from 1 species